AUCUGAUUCGCAAUAAAGCUUUCUUCAUAUUCAUCACUCGCUAGCUUGCAUUAGAUGUUUAUAACAUAGCAUACAUAUAUGGCUGUGUGAUGUCUUUAUUCCCACAUCUCCUAACAGAAAAUAUCGCAGGGAAUUAGGAACUAACAACUCACAACUACAUCUCCUAACAGAAAAUAUUGCAGGGAAUUAGGAACCAACAACUCACAACUUUAUACAGAAAAGGAUCAUACAGACAUGACCCAUACCAAAAUGAUGGUCACUGACGAGAGGAAUCGGGCAUUCAAACUGAUGGUAUGCUUCUUUGCUGCGUUUGAUGACAGUGGCCACUGAUGAGAGGAAUCGGGCAUUCAAACUGAUGGUCCAAGCAUCGGUCUCUAAGCUCAGAGGCGCUGGUUUGAUUGCGGUACUUGUUUAUCCAAGUAUGUUUCUGUUCCUAUGCUUGAGUGAUUAUGG
rnacentral:lncRNA from 1 species